CGGGUGUUUACUAUCUUCACUAUCUUUAGUUGAUUUCAUCUACUCCUAGGACUGCAACUGCCAUUUUUUGGCUGACCACUGUCGUCACACCCGUAUCCUCUCUGAUCAUCUCCCUAGAUAGACUCAACAACUGGCUCAUCAUCCUUGCUUGGCUCUCUCUCAAUACCUCGGACACGGCACGAUGAACAUGAAACUUCUCCUACCCUGCCCAAAUGUGGUGGCAAGGGGAAUCACAGACUACUUCUAGAAUCUGGUGAAAAGCAAUCUUCUACUGUGAUGGUCAUUUUGACAUGUCACCCAGCAUUCUCACAGGGUAGAUGUUGCUAAGCACUGAGAACUGUUUGCUGGAGGUUGUAGAAUCUUCUCUUCUGGAAGGUAAGGGAGCUCUUUUAAAUACAAGGAUUUCUUAGUUCCUGAGGGUUAGGUUAAAUGUUCUCCUGCUGAAGGGGAGUGGAUUGAUCCCAUGAGUUCCCCAGGUCUCC
rnacentral:lncRNA from 1 species